GGCCUACCAUGGUGGUAACGGGUAACGGGGUGUUAGGGCACGACACCGGAGAGGGAGCCUGAGAAACGGCUACCACAUCCAAGGAUGGCAGCAGGCGCGCAAAUUACCCAAUCCCGACACGGGGAGGUAGUGACAAUAAAUAACAAUACGGGGUUCUUUCGGAUCUCGUAAUUGGAAUGAGUACAAUUUAAAUCUCUUAACGAGGAACAAUUGGAGGGCAAGUCUGGUGCCAGCAGCCGCGGUAAUUCCAGCUCCAAUAGCGUAUAUUAAAGUUGUUGCAGUUAAAAAGCUCGUAGUUGAAUUUCGAGAUCAAAUUGUUGGUCGUGCCUCGGUACGUACUGGCAUUAUUGAUUUCUCCCUUCUGAAGAACCUUGAUGUCAUUAAUUUGGUGUCUUGGGGAAUCAGGACUGUUACUUUGAAAAAAUUAGAGUGUUUAAAGCAGGCUCACGCUUGAAUACAUUAGCAUGGAAUAAUGAAAUAGGACGUUUGAUUCUAUUUUGUUGGUUUCUAGGAUCGACGUAAUGAUUAAUAGGGAUAGUUGGGGGCAUUAGUAUUCAAUUGUCAGAGGUGAAAUUCUUGGAUUUAUUGAAGACUAACUACUGCGAAAGCAUUUGCCAAGGAUGUUUUCAUUAAUCAAGAACGAAAGUUAGGGGAUCGAAGACGAUCAGAUACCGUCGUAGUCUUAACCAUAAACUAUGCCGACUAGGGAUCGGAUGAUGUUAAUUUUUUAAUGACUCAUUCGGCGCCUUACG
rnacentral:rRNA from 1 species